GGGAGGAGCCAUUAUUCCCUUUCAUUCUAUAGAUGGGGAAACUGAGGCAGGCUUGCCCGUGAUGAAGUGGCCAGUCGGACACGGGGCCAGAUUCAGACCUACAGCCUGGGCUCCCAGCUAGAGCAGCGCCAGCCUCUAGGGGCGUUAGAAUAGGGCUCACUGCGAAGGCCCCGGCCAGGGCAGCUUUCAGGGUGGGGUCUCUGGCCUCACCCUAGGGAAAUGGCCAGGGCGCUGGUUGCUGCCUGCUGAGCCUGGCGUGGGAACAAUGCGGCCUCUAUCCCUGGAGCGAGCCAGGCCGCCCGGACGCCCAGCCCCUCGGAGCAGCCCGGCCAGGCAGGCGCCCACAGCAUGGCGCCCAGUCAGCGCUGCCCGUCCACGGGGCGCUGGCGCCUCGGCCGGGCCUGGGCGGCCGCUCCCCACAUCCUCCCGGGCCGGCCACUGAGUGGCCAUACGCCGGCUUCCUCCUCCCUCUCCCGCCCGGCCAGCCUCCUCCUUUUUUGGUGGUGGGUUUGGGGGCCCGGCCCACCCGCCACUGCCACGUCUGCCAUCCUCCCGCACCCACGAGCAUCUUUCAAAAAUUCCCGGUGGGCGGGGCCGAGCUGCAGCGGCCGCCUCUGCCCCCCCCUCCCCGGGCAGCCAGUGCCAGAUGAGAGCAGGAGACAAAAGUAGCAUUUUCCUCGUACUCCGGGGCUGGCAGUGGGGCCUUCCCCCAGCGCCACAUGGCUCCUGGCAGCCCUGCCCCCUGUGCCGGGGUGGCCGAGGCCCAGCAGGGCCCACUGGACCGAAGGGUGGCGGCGGCCGGAGACCGGGGGGCCCGCAGGCCUGCGGCCGGGGCUGGCACCGGGCAGCCUGCCGGCGGGUGGGACCUGCCCUCCUCCCCCGCCGGGGUGACCGGCCGGGCCCGGGGACGUCAUUUUCACUUCCUGGCUUUGGAGACAGCGCCUCCAUCUUCCGGCACCUCGGAGCCCUCCAUCUUCCGAGAGGGACGCCCUGCCAAAAACUGCAGGGAAAAUGCAGGAGCCAAGCCCAUUGACUUUCAAGUCUCAAAGCUACAGGCUUUAGAAAUCACAAUAAAAAUGAAUGUUUCUCAUUUCACAGUAGCUGCGUCUUCCAUUACGGUGGGAGCAAAUGCUUCGGGAGGCAUUCCUGGCCACGGCCUUCUCCUGCCUGCCUGGUUGUGGCAGUUUGUGCGGAGGCCUCAUUAUUAUUAUUUUAUUUUAAUUUUUGGCGGCACCAGGACUGGCAGAGGGAAAACCACCAGGACCAUCCACGGCUCCUCCCAGCAAACGCAUCGGCAGGCAGGGCCAGGCCGGCCCCCGGGAGGGAGGACUUUGCAUCUGGAAACAGAGGCCCUUUUAUGUUCUCCAGCAUCUUUAAUGUUACCAUGUCCACAGUUUAGGGAUCAAGUUCUCUCUCACUUUCAUUUUAGUUUUUGGAAAGAAAAAAAAAAAAAAAAAAAAAAAAAAAAA